GAUGACUGCAAUCUGACCAAGUGUCCUGAAUUUGUUUGGGGAAAUCAUAAAGCAAAAGACUCUAAGUGUUUGAAACAAAGGUGUUUUAAUGCAGUGACCUAUUUUCACAGGUGAAAUAAGCAUAAGAAAACAAAAAAUAGCAAGAAGAGGACUCAAAUUAGCAACCACAAUAAAAGGGUCAGCAGAGUUCCAGGGCUGAUGUCAAGUUCAUCUUUCUGGUAGAAGCUGGGCUGGAGCCAUGAAGGAGAAGGUACAAGGUCCUUCUGAGCCUGCAUAGCAUCAUGAGCUACAAGAAGUAACAAUAAGCUGAGUGGUGAAAGGAGGUAUCUCAGAGACAGAGAGCAGCUCAUCCACAGUGAUCCUUGUUCCUUUAACAUGAUGAGGACACCACCCAGGUAGCAAUCCCUGUCCUCCCUUGACAGUCCACAGUUCCUUUUUAUUCAGUUAUGCCAGUGUCAUUAUCUCUCAGUUUCUGCCUUCUGUGAAUGCUACGAUCCUCCUGAGACAUGUCAUCUCCAUCACCACAAGUCUAGUAUAUGCGCUGCC
ensembl:lncRNA